rnacentral:rRNA from 1 species
CACACCGCCCGUCACACCAUGGGAGUUGGGUUUACCCGAAGGCAGUGCGCCAACCGCAAGGAGGCAGCUGACCACGGUAGGCUCAGCGACUGGGGUG